GAUAAAACAUUGGUAAACCUCAUUUUAACAGUCAGAUGCUUUGGUUGUUUGGUGAAAAUCUACAACCCAUUGAUUCGCUGUUUACGUCUGAAAAUGGUAAGUUGAUGGAUGUUUGUUUUAAUGCUGUAAUAAAGUAUGUAAUUAUGAAUUAAUUGUUUCACUUUUGAGGAAACGGUAAUUAUAUUGAAGUGGAAACGUGUAACAAGGAAAAAAGAUAUGUCCUGCGGGUAUUUCCGUGGGUUGUGGAGUAUAGAUAUACCGAAAUUAUGCCAGCAAUGUCUCAUUUUUAAGUUGAAGGAAAAAAAUCCUUUCAUAUUUGUUCUAACCUGUUUCAUGUGUGUAUGUAAAAUCCGCAAAUUUCCAAGCAGGAAACAGAAUCGAACUGUCAUUUGCUUCCACGGAAAUACUCCAAGUAAAAUGUUUUGAUUUUGUCGAGUUAUAUCGAAAGAAUGCCGUCAUUAUAUAGACAUAAAAACUUAUAGCAACAUUCGCAAAAGAAAUACACACACACACAUUAAAUGAAUAUUAAUAUAUAUAUAUAUAUAUUUGUUGUGCAAGAUUUUUUAUGUGAAGUCGUGUGUUGAAACAGAUAUUGUUAUGUUUCGGAAUGGUCAUUAAUGUAAAAAAUAAAUAACACCAAAUAUAUAGUGCGUGUGUUUUUAUUGGCUAAACUGGCAAAAUGACCAUUCCGAAAUAUAAUAAUAUAUAUAUAAAAAUGAGUGAUUUUCAUUUAAUUCAGAAAGAAAAUUGCUGGCAUAAGAGAGGAACGAAUCCCAGAUGCUGUGUGCGUGUAUGUAUAUUUGGUGUAUAGUAUUGUCUGAAAAAAGUUCGAAGGUUAUUCAAAAUAGAGUUGCCACAUCGAACAUGGAAAUGUUGAAGAUUGAAACUUGCAUUCAAAGUUUGAUGAAGUUACGAACAACAAUAAUAAAAGCAUCUGGAAAGAUAUUUUUAGGAUAUCAGUGAGAACAAUUUACCACAGAUAUCGCAGUGAUACAGCCUCUGUCGUUUAUGGCUGUAUUUAUAAGUAGUAUGGUUACAAUCUAUAGAGAAUAUUUAGAACAGAUAACUGUAUGAUGUUGUUUCUCGGCUGUGUAAAUGCAUUUAUUAGUAACGAGAUUAACUUUUCAGACUGUUUUCUUUUUUGUUAAUGUUUUUCUCUUCGUCCAUAAUUUCGCUUUUUGUUGUAUUACAAAAUUCGUAGCAUCGAUGAAAGCUUUACGUUGAUUAUAGGGUUGCUAAGUUAUGGUUGAUUUGGUAACAAAACAGCAACAUUGAGCCACUGGCAUGAAAACUGGUCACUCAAACUUCUUGAAAUAGGAGCCAAAUUCUUUACAAAAUCCACUUACAUUAGUUGGCAGGGUUUUGGGGUUGGACACACCAGAUGUCCCCCCGACAAGUCAUCCUAACGAGACGUCUGCGUUGGCUGGGUCAUGCCCUCCGUCGUCAACCAGGAGAAUUCAUCUACGAAGUAAUUGCCCCAGCUCCCCUUCAGGGUUGGCGAAAGCGAUGUGGUGGACAACGAAAAACAUGGCUGAUGACAGUCAAGGCUGAUCUGGAACCCAACCUAGGCCCCCAUAUCUACGGCGUUCGCCGCUGGGGUAAGUUGUGGUUGGAGAUCACGCGGUCGUUAGCCCCAAAUCGCCAGGCCUGGUCGGCGUUUGUGAGAGAUGCAGCAUUGAGGAUGAAUGAAGCCAGCUCAACCCAACCCGGGUGAACGCUGUCUCAAGUCAAGUCAAGAUACACCAGAUGGUCUAUUCCUCGAUAUACAAUGGCAAUAUCGUGAUAGAAUGUGUUUGAUCAUAUGUUUGUUUAAUAAGGAAUGAUCAGGGAUUAGAUAACAGUGACAACACGUUUCUAGAGAGAGAAAAAAAUGUCCACUCUUCUGUCAGUUUUGGUACGAUGACUAUAAGUAUAGACUAUCAACUAUUAAGUGUAAUAGUUUAUGUUGUAUGAGUAAGUGCAAUCCCCAAGUAAAUAAUAAUAACUACUGUAAAUCCUCGAGUAUAUUUCGCAUUUUCCCCCAAAAAAUUUAAAGGUCAAAAUUCCUAGUACGUACUAUAUACGAGGUUAAAAAUGAAAAAUAUUUUCUAAACAAUGUUCGAGUCUCUAUUUGCUGCCCAGCAAUGUUUAUUCAGACGCAUUUUGUGAUGUCAGGCACGAAAAUACCUUAAGGUAAAUCAUAAAAGAAUCAUCCAUAACAUGCAGUAAGCAACAUUUAUUAAAAUAAAAGUAUUCAGAACACAGAAUAACAUGUAACAAAAACAAUUUGCAAUCUUAUUUACAUUCCCAUAUAACAGUUAAAAACAUCACCAUUAUUGUAUUACGCAUGCGCGGAAGAGUUUGUUCGACUAGGUGCUGCUGGCUUAAUUACACAUGACUCAAGUUAGAGAAGGGGUGCGUAUUAUACACAAGAUUUAGGUUUUUCAGAGAUACAGUCCCCUAAAAAUCCCCAGCGUAUUAUACUCAAGGACAGACUGUACUCGAGGAUUUACGGUAUAUAUAAUCUGAUUGGAUUGUAAUAUACUAGUGCAUCGCAAGUUGUAGAAUAACUAAUAAGGAAAAUGUCCUGAUAUGGAGAAUGGAAUGUAAACUAUGUACUCUUGUGUAUUUAAUAAAGGAUUCAGUUUCAAAUUCUGAGAAGGUAUGAUGACCGAAGACACUAGUCCAGAUAUAAUGUAUACCCAUUAUUGUUCAUUGGCAGUGCCCCGGCAUGGCCACAGCUCGUGAGCUGAAACUAGAUGAAAUAAAAUAAAAAAUAUUGUAAUAUAUUUGAUAUUACACAAUCUGAAAGUGUAGAUAUGGAGUGAAAAUAUGUAAACUUUACACAACUUCCAUGUAAUUUUAAUAAAUUCAGAUGUAAAUUUGUUGGGGGUGAAGUUUAUCACAGUUGAAUUGUAGUAAAAUGGCACUGUUGAAUCAUUUUAAUUAUCUUCAAUAUCUUACAAUAUUUCUCUGUCAUUUCAGAAUAUCAGAGACAUUGGUAUUAAAGGUAUAUCAAUAUUUAUCAUCGUUUACAGACAAAAGGAAGCAGUUAUGCAGAAUAAUUACAACUCUCUCUAUAAAGUUACCAUUGAAUUACUGUUAAAU
rnacentral:lncRNA from 1 species